AUUGAACGCUGGCGGCGGGCCUAACACAUGCAAGUCGAACGCAGCUUCGGACGAGUAGUUACUGACUAGGAAUCUGCCUGGUAGUAGGGGAUCACGUCCGGAAACGGACGCUACUACCACAUACUAUCAGAUGAGCCUAGGUCGUCUUAGCGAGUUGGUGGGGUAAAGGCUUACCAAGGCGACGAUCCGUAGCUGGUCUGAGAGGAUGAUCAGUCACACUGGAACUGAGACACGGUCCAGACUCCUACGGGAGGCAGCAGUGGGGAAUAUUGGACAAUGGGCGAAAGCCUGAUCCAGCCACGCCGCGUGUGUGAAGAAGGUCUUCGGAUUGUAAAGCACUUUAAGUUGGGAGGCGGUACCAACAGAAUAAGCAACGGCUAACUUCGUGCCAGCAGCCGCGGUAAUUC
rnacentral:rRNA from 1 species